AGAUCGCUGUUGUCCAGUUGUGUGUGUUGUGCGCUGUGUUGUUACCUUUGUUUUUUUCCUUCAAACUUUGUUUACCUCGGCUACAGAAGUUGUCGGUUCAUUUCGUCGUUGGGUUAUUUUUAAUUUUUUUUCAUUUCCAAAACGCUCGCGUUUAUUUUUUUAUUCAGCAUCGCAGUGCAUUGUUGAUAUAGAGAGAAAGAGAGAGCUCUUUGUUGAGUACAUGUGUUAAGGAAUUGAAAUAUUUAAAAAAAGAGAGAAAUUAAAUUAAAAACAUUAUUUAAAAAAAAAACAUUUUUACCUCAACGGAAGUAGCAAGGAGAUAGAGAAAUCUUGACACAAUGACCGUUGGCGGAGAAGACCGAAAACUGUUUGUUGGUAUGUUGAACAAAUCCCAGACCGAAGAAGACGUGAGACAACUCUUUCACUCCUACGGAACCAUCGAGGAGUGCACCAUCCUGAGAGACCAGAGCGGCAACAGCAAAGGUUGUGCUUUUGUGAAGUUCUCGAACCACCAAGACGCGGUCGCCGCGAUCAACGCUUUGCACGGGAGCCAGACGAUGUCGGGCGCCUCCUCUAGUCUUGUAGUAAAGUUUGCCGACACAGAGAAAGAAAGACAACUCCGCCGCAUGCAGCAAAUGGCCGGACCCCUUGGACUACUAAACCCCUUCGCUCUCGGUGGCUACAGUGCCGCAUAUGCUCCGGUGGAGUCACCAUACGAACUGGCCCGCGUAGGCUCAUUCGAGACCCUGGCACCACAGCCUGUCUACACCAAACAGUCAGCUGCUCUCCAGUCUCAGCAGCUCAUGCAACAACAAGCUGCGAUCAUGGCAGCAGCUCAAACACCUUACCUAACCAACCCCGUAAGCAUGCUGUCCACUCAGGUCCAACAGCUGACCAGUCUACCAGCCGCUCCCAACGGAUUGGUCUCCACAGCAAUCACACCCACCACAGCAACUCUUGGAAGUGACUAUGCUAAUGCAUGGCAGUUUCACUGGCGUGAGGGACAACCGGAAAAAAUCAAGAAUUUGGAGCACCAUUAUUCCGAUGUGAGGAUAGCAUUUUCAUGUACCCCUACACCAACUAUAAAUGGUGCCCCUCCAAGUAUGCUGUCCCCAACUGCCAUGGCAUCCUUUCCCAUGCCACCAACUAACGGGGCAGCAGAAAUCUACACCAACGGCAUUCCGCAUUACACAGGUUUGUAUUCAGUAACGAACGGUGACCCGCUUCAAGCGUAUGCUGCAAUUCCAUCCUACGCUGGCAUUGCAGCCUACCCCGCAGUCUACGGUGGAUUCCAGCAGUUAACCCAGCCCACAACUCUGGUGCCAACAGCCCAGAAGGAAGGGCCAGAAGGCUGCAACCUCUUCAUCUACCACCUCCCCCAGGAGUUUGGGGAUGGCGAACUCGCUCAGAUGUUUGUCCCGUUUGGCAAUGUUAUCAGUGCUAAAGUUUAUGUGGACAGAGCGACAAAUCAGAGCAAGUGCUUCGGUUUUGUAAGCUUUGAUAACCCAGCUAGCGCUCAGACUGCCAUUCAGGCAAUGAAUGGGUUCCAGAUUGGCAUGAAGCGUCUAAAGGUUCAACUGAAGCGCCCUAAAGAUGCCAAUCGUCCUUAUUAACAGCAGGAGAGAACAUCUUACAGCCGUCAUGUGACUCAUGUUAUGCCCCUUUUUUACGCAGGCUUGUGCCUCCGCCUCGUGAUUGGACGGCAUUCCUGCCAAUCACCCAACUUUAGCCACUUCUUCUCCAUCAGUGCGGUAUGAUGCUUGUUUACUGGACAUGAAAAUGUUGGAGGAAAUGUUUUAAAAUUAAAAAAAAGUAAUAACCAAGCGAUGCUGAAUGAAAUGAUUUAUUUAUAGAGCAGCGACUUCGUUAUGUUUCAAUUACCUUAUCUCUUUAUAGUUAUAAUUUAUCACACUUAAAUAAUACAAUGACAAUAUUUUCAGUCAUUUGAUGGCUAUAUUUUGUUUUGCCUGUCAGCCAUUUCAUUUUAUCCUGUAAAAAUAUGUCCUUAUGAUUUUAAAACUUUGCUUUAGAUUUGAAUUAGACAUGUUUUUACUGUAUACAAAGUAGUAAUCUAAACAACUAUAUACUUCUUGUGUGUUUAUUUUACUAAUAUUAUAGAAUAAUGUAAAUUGGCAGUUUUUAUCUUUAUCUGAUGGUCAGGAAAAAUAAUAAGACACCUAAAUUAAAUCCCCUUUUGAAAUCCAUUUUUAAAAACUUUUUAUGAGUUUUCAAUGUAUUGAGUAUUGGAAAUUAGAAAAAUAAAUCCAGUUUUGUUUUGUUUCCUUGCAAUGAUUGAAAACCUGCUAGUCAGUUUAUACUGCCAUUUGAUAACUUUUUAAUUUUUCUCUUUUACACUUUGAAGCACGAUUUUUUUAGUCACACAAUGCUUUCAUUUUAUAUGCUUGUCGGAUUGCGCUUUUAAAAAUUGUACAUUUUUAACACUUUCAUUUAAAGCAUAUUUUGCUGUGUCUCAUUGUUAUUAGGUUUAAAUGCUGUGCAUUAUUUUAGCAAAAUCAGCUAGACAAAAAUUUUAAAAUUCUAUUGAUAUAGGCAAGAGUUUGAAUUUUAAAAUUGCUACUUUAAUAUAUUUUGCUUUAUCGUUCCAUUUUUAAAAUUUUGUGUAGGUUUAGUUCUACUAUAGGAGGCAGUGUUGUACAUUUUAUUUCAAAUUUGAUGGAGUCUAAACGAUCAAUACACCAGCUUUUAAAAAUAAAUAGCUUGGUGGAAUUGUGGUAAAUGUAAAAAGAGUAAUUUUGUGAGAGUAGCUAUACUAAGUUGCAUUCUUGUCAACUAUGACAUUUUGAUGUAUUGUUUGUGUUCUAAAAACAUGACUACUUAAUGAAACAAAUCUAAACAUUUCCAUAUUUAUAACAAUGAUGACUAUUAACUGUUAUUGCUUUAAAGAUGUAAAAAGAAUUAUGAAGAAUAAUUUUAAAAUACAAGUUAUAUUAUUUACCAAUUUUAACAGAAUACCUUGACCUUUAACCUGUCUGUCCUGUACCUUCCUCUAUGGAGCAGUAUCCUGAAUAACUCAUUUAUGUCUUACCCAUGCUGUGUACUGUUCUAAAACACACAAAAAAAUUUAAUCAUCACCUCCGCAUUCUCUUUCCUUCAUAUUCUAAUUUGAAUGAUAAUAUCCAGCGCAAAGUAUGUAUAUAAUAUAUAAAUAACUGCCCAAAUACCACUUUUUUCUCACUGCGUUGGGCUGUCUAAUUUAUUUAUGUACUUAAGAGCUCAAACGAGCAAAUUUAUUUUUGCCCCAAUGGUGUAUACAUUUGUUCUAUAUUAAUUAAAUGCUUUUAUCAUGUUAUUUGAUUGAUAAUUUUUUUCUUGGCUUUAUUCCUUUGAUAAUAACUUUUCAAAAACCUUACUUUAACAGUAUCAAAACAAUGCCUACAUCUGAAAGGUUAUCAUUGUUUUCAUACCCACAAAAAUAAUAAUUCUUUUAUACAAUGCUUACAAUUUACACUUAGGUGAAAUUUUCUAUUUGGAGACGUGGAUUCCUCGUGUUAACUUCAAAUAAUAAAAGAGAUUCUACAAUUGUUUUUAAAGUUUGGCUUCUAUAUACAAAACCACUAAUAUCACGAAUUGGUAAUAAAAUUAAUAGGCAAAAUACUAAACUUACUUUUGGAUAAAUAGUUAUUUUGGAAAACUUCUGUAAAAAAAACUGUAUUGUUCAUUAUUCUGAACAGAAAAAGGCAAAUGUUAGUCUGAAACAAGUCUCCAAUGUAAUUGAAACUGUAAUAUAGAUUUAAUGAUGCAUAUUUUUCAUUAUGAUACUGUUUAAAUGCUACAAUGACUUAUUCCCCUGUUGCUCAAAAUGAUGAGUUUUUAUGACUGAAUUUUUUUUAAAAGGUUCUAUUGAAUUACAUGUGGAUUAUAUGGAUUUGAAUUUUUUUUUUCUUUAAAAUUCACCAUGACCUUGAGUAUUGUGAACUAUCAGAACUACUUGAAAAUAGGAAAAUUCUAAAACCCACAGCUUCAGUUUCUACUCUUUUUUGCUACAUUUUUAUUUUGCUGAAAUGCAUUUUAAAGGCUAAAAUGUGUUAUAAAAAGUCAAUACUUAUUUGAAAAAUUGAACUUUUAUAAACCAGUGGGUACAUAUUUGGCUGUUAUGCUCAGUCAGUCAGUUUUUAAAUGCUGCAAACUGUGGUGACUUUUUUUAUAUCAAAUCUUCUCCUCAAGUAAUAGCUUGAAGCUUUGCGUCAGUAACUUUAAAAUAGCGAGAUAUCACUAUGUAGAAUAUACAUUAGUGAAAAUAGGGGUAAGCAUUUAGCACAUGUACAUUUCUGUUUUAAAAGAACAAUUUCCUUUUAAAUUUCAUAUCAUAUAACCUAUUUUUAUCAUUUCUAUUUAAUGCAUAACCUAUGUAUAUUUGGAUAUGUACUUUUAUAAAAUGGCCCAAUUGAUACCUAUGAUUUCCAUGGAGAACUGUAAAAUAUUAAAAUAUAGUUGCCACUUUCAUUGUUAUAAUUUAAAUCUCUCUCUCUCUCUCUCCAUCAGUAACACAAACUGAACUUUAAAAAAAAAAAUUCUAAUAUACUUUGCUGUUUAAAGAACUACUUAUUUUGGGAACUUUGUCAUAUACAGUUUGAGUGUCUGCACAUUUUUUAUUUAGUACCUGCUAAAAAAACAGCAAUAAUGCAGUAGGCCUGAAGAAUAAUUACGAACAUCUCAAAUUUUUAACUGUUAAUAUUGGGGUCCAACAUUUUAUGAUUUCUUUUUUUUUAAUAUCCAUUUCUUGUUUGAUCACUUUUCUAAGUACAUUUUUUUUAUUGGCAUUAGUUUAUUUUUCUAAUCAUUUUCAUUACAAAGCAUAUCAUGACAGUUCAUUAUAAAUAUAUCUAUCUCUAUAUAAGACUAUAUAUACACCAUAUGUUCAAUCAUUUUUAAUAUUUUUUAAAAACCUUUUUUUCCCAAUAUUUAUUAUUAAAUAAGACAUAUCUCAUUUAUAAUAUCAUUUUUGCUACUAAGAACUCCAGGAUUACAUUGUUAUAUAUUCCUAAUCCCAUCCUUUUAUGCUUUUCACCUUUAUUUUUGGGCUUGGCUUGAUUUGAUAAUCUUAUAAAAAUUUGGAUUCCCAAGUCCGCAACCUUUUUAUUGCUGUUUUCAUCCAAUUUUAUAGUGUUGUUAAAUAGUUUCUUUUUAAUCAUCGCCAAAAAAAAAAAUAUUUCACAUUACACUUAAAACUUAAUUCAACAUGUUUUUUUUUUUUACUUCGAGCCCUUGCUUUCAAUUUGUUUUGAGGGAAAGUGCAAUAAUUUCAGCUGACCUCAGUGUGAAAACAUGUGUUUUCUUUUCAAGUGUUCACUUUAUUGCUAGUAUUAUUUUCAUUAUGUAAUCUACAACUUUCAGGUAUUAAGGCUAGGCUUGUUUGUUUUUUUGCUAUUUUUUUAUCACUCUGAUGAGUCAACAGUUUAAAAAAUCAGUUGAUAAAGCUGAACCCUUACCAAAUUGAGCGAAGCUGUGAGUAAGCUUCAACGCCUGACCACACGCAGUACUGAAAAUCACAUUGACCACUUACCCUCUUUGUAAAAUAGCUGGAAUGUUAUCCUCCAUCCCCCUGAAUCUACUUAAACAGUUAGUGUAUAUCAUUACCAAAUUGCCCAGUGAAAAUAACUUAUCUUGUACAGAGGUAUAAACUUUUUAUUAUUGCCAAAAUCCUGAGCACAAUUUCCAUCUAAAUAAUUGAAAGAUGAUUUUUACAUAUUUUUUUUACUCAGGUAGCUAAUUAUGUUUCAUUUUAAUUAAAACAUUAGUGAAUAAAAUGAUCGUCAAUUUUAAUGGUAAUGAUUUCUUGUUUUCUGUUUCAAAAUAUUCUCUCCAAUUUUUUUAAAGUUUUAAAAAAACAAACACAAUAUUCAACUUUGGAUAAUGUUUAUAAUCCCGGAUUUUAUUUUUAGCUUCUAUGUAAGCUAACACCUGUAAAUUAUUUUAGAAUUUAUCCACAUGUAUUAUUACAUUUUAGCCUAGCAUUGUCAUGAGUUUUUUUAAAACAGUUUUUGAAAAAAACUAAAACAGAUUGCAGUAGAUGAAUUUUAGUGUUACUAAAAACUAAUAUAAUAUGUAUACAUAGCUAGUUCAUGGUUUGUCUUUUACAUUUUUUAAAUCUUUUUUUUUUAAUUUAAAGUUUCCAUAUGUUUAAAAAAAAACAAUAUUUGCUUAGACCUAUUUUUGUAUUGUUUGCACAUGCACACCAAUUUUUUAAUUUUAGUAACCAAUUUGAAUUUUACUACCCACAUGCAUCAUAACAAAAACCCUGCCUUCUGUUAAACAAAUACCUUCAAAUCAAAAUAAAUCUACUUACCAUUUCUAUCAUUGAUGAAUAUUGCCAUUAUAACUGGAUAUGUCUCAUAAAGGCUUGGAUUUCUUUUUCAGUUGAAGGGUCGGAUUGUUAUGUUACACCACUGUUCAUUUUUAAUUAGAUUUAAACACUUGUAUAUCUAUAAGGUUACUUAAACCAUUCUUUUAAAUCCAUAUAUGAAAAGUGUUCAUUAACUCCAUCUCGAAAAUGGUUAUAUAUUUUGUAGUUGAAAGAAAAUAUACUGUGCGAAUCAGCAUUUUUUUUCCCAGCCUUAGUGUUUUAGGCACAGCAUUGAAGAAAAAAAAAGUGUUUGUUGCUGUGAAGGUGAUGUUUAGAAAAUUCUGGAAUGUUAAGUGUAAAACAAUAUUACAUUGUACAAAAAUUAUUUCACUUUUGUGAACCUUUAGUAUAAAUGACACUUUUUUUUUUUAAAGGAAAAUAAAAAUCUGUUAGUGUAUUUAACACGUUUGUAUUUGUAGGAUUUAUUUACAGAAGGCGCGACUAAUCAAAUGAUUGAGUAAAGCACUGAUCCCUAUAGUCUUAGAACUGACUGGUAUAUAUCUACUACAGAGUUGUUGCUUUUUAUUUAACACUCAAACAGUUAAGUCACAUAAUUUUAUCAAAGACCUUGUAUUAUAUUAUUAAAAAUGACAAUGACAUUAAAGAUUAUACAACUUUAAA